UUAUAUUGGAAUAUACUAUUAAGUUGUUUAUUGACAUCUUUGUAAAUGAAAUAUCAGUGUCAUAGGCCAACUGUCAUAUUUUCUAUAAACAGAUUUAUAUUCCAUUCCAUUUUAGAAGUUGUUUAACUACGCUAGUAUUCAUCGUUGUCCAAUAUGAAGGUAAUACAAGUGUUCUUUGUCCUCGUGGUCACACUGACAGCACUAGUUGAAGUAUUCGGCGAAGGAUUUGAUGACCAGGGUUACAUUCAGCUAUGUGGCCGGCAAUUAGCAACCAUGUGUAUUUUAACUAUGAAUUCUGAACAAAGCCACGAGGAACCUGAUAUUUAUCUUACACAAAAGCGAUCUCUAUCGCCCCGCAACAAGCGUUCACUGCUCGAAGAAUGUUGUCAUAAUAAAUGCACCAAGUCGGUCUUUGCUCAGUAUUGCCAUUAUUAAAUAUUAUUAAGUAUCACUAAUAUAUACUUAAAGAUUAAUUAAAUAUAAUUUUUUUAGUGUAA